AAUUAUUUUCAACUCUCCCUCCAAUUUUUAUUGGCCAAAAAAACAUUAAUGAAUCAUAAAACAUUUAACUUUUGACUCUUUACUCUUUUACUUGACAUUCCUCCUUCAGCUUUCCUCUUUCACUUUUCUGAUUUUGUGAAGGAACUGAAGAACCAACGUGAAGGAGCUGAAGAACCAACGUGAAGAAAGCUGAAGAACAACUUAUCUGUUCCGAUAUAGAUUGUGAGAAGAACAGGAUGAAGAGAAGAAGUUGACCCAGAACAGAGAUGAAGAGCUGAAGAGCUGAAGAGCUCAAAUCGUUUUCUUCAAUAACGAUUUCUUCAAUAGUAAAAAGAAUGAAUGCUUUUGGGUUGAUGGAAAGAUGAUGAAUUGAAGCUACACUUUUCUCUCAAGUUUCUCACUUAAGAACAGGAUUUCAAACAGGUUUAGUUUGAGAAGGUUUUAUCAAAUUAGUUUUCCCAAGCUUUGUUCGAGUCCGAGAUUCUGCCCGAAAUUCUAAUCCGUUGUUAGUGUUCAAGUUUCAUGGAGAAGAUCGAUUUCCUUCUCGUCCCCUUCCAGUUCACUGCCUGAAGAAAGGUGCUGCAAUAUGCAAUAUUCAGUUCCUCUUAUAUAGCUGCUGCAAUCUGGGAUAAUAAAGUACAAGAAAUUCUUGUAAGAGUUGAGCCCUUCUAGAAUUGCCUGCACACAGAAAUGGGUUUCCAGAUGGGUUGAUCAGAAACCAUGGGCUACUUGUGAAUUUGAGUUGCAUGAAUCGUCGGGACAAGAUCCGGAGGUGCAGUUUGAAUGAUCUUUCGAUAUCCUAGGUUGCAUUGAUAAAAAAACAUAUACUUUGAUGUUUUUUGUGUUGAGUUCCCUCUUUUUUCAUGCCUGUUUUGUGCCACUGCUAUCCUGAUUUACAUGUUUGCAUUAGAGUAUCUUCAUAUUACUCUCUUGCUGCCCCUGUUCUUUGGCCUGAAGUGGACUUGGAGUUGGCAUUGAAGAGAAGUAGAAAGUGGUUUAGCCAGCCAAACAAAAUGACACUGGAAAUGAAAAAAAAGGAAAAUGUCGGUAAUUGAAUUUUGAUUAGUGGUCAGAAGUAAAUUCGAUCUAUUGUAUUCAUGUUGAAGAAUUUUUUACUAUUAUCAUAUUUGUUUAAAUGCCUUUGAUUUUCUGGUAUCUAUUGAUAGUAUAGAUUUUUUUGCAAUCACUUUCUAUGUAUUGGUUGUAGAAGACAUGUUUUCAAAGAUUAUUCAUAAUAUAUAGCCUCGAUUUAUUGAUUAGC